rnacentral:rRNA from 1 species
UAGUCCACGCCGUAAACGAUGGAUACUAGCUGUCCGGGUCCUUGAGAUCUGGGCGGCCAAGCGAAAGUGAUAAGUAUCCCACCUGGGGAGUACGUUCGCAAGAAUGAAACUCAAAGGAAUUGACGGGGGCCCGCACAAGCGGUGGAGCAUGUGGUUUAAUUCGAUGAUACGCGAGGAACCUUACCAGGGCUUAAAUGCAUAUUGACAGGGGUAGAGAUACCUUUUCCUUCGGGCAAUUUGCAAGGUGCUGCAUGGUUGUCGUCAGCUCGUGCCGUGAGGUGUCAGGUUAAGUCCUAUAACGAGCGCAACCCCUACCGUUAGUUGCCAGCGAGUCAUGUCGGGGACUCUAACGGGACUGCCGGUGCAAACCGUGAGGAAGGUGGGAAUGACGUCAAAUCAUCACGGCCCUUACGUCCUGGGGCCACACACGUGCUACAAUGGCCGGUACAGGAGAGCAGCCAUGUCGCAAGGGCAGAGCGGAAUCUACAAAACCGGGUCACAGUUCGGGAUCGGGGGUCU